AACGAACGCUGGCGGCGCGCUUAACACAUGCAAGUCGAACGAGAAGGCGUAGCAAUACGCUUGUACAGUGGCGAACGGGUGAGUAAUACGUGGGCGACCUACCCUCGAGUGGGGAAUAACCCGCCGAAAGGCGGGCUAAUGCCGCGUACGCUUCCAUCUUUAUGGAGGUGGAAGGAAAGCCGUGCCGUGGGCACGGCGCUCAAGGAUGGGCUCACGUCCUAUCAGCUUGUUGGAGGGUAACGGCCUACCAAGGCUCCGACGGGUAGCUGGUCUGAGAGGACGAUCAGCCACACUGGCACUGCGACACGGGCCAGACUCCUACGGGAGGCAGCAGUGAGGAAUAUUGCGCAAUGGGCGAAAGCCUGACGCAGCGACGCCGCGCGGGGGAGUGAA
rnacentral:rRNA from 1 species